rnacentral:rRNA from 1 species
UACAGAGGUCUCAAGCGUUGUUCGGAUUCAUUGGGCGUAAAGGGCUCGUAGGCGGCCAACUAAGUCCGACGUGAAAUCCCCAGGCUUAACCUGGGAACUGCGUCGGAUACUGGUUGGCUUGAAUCCGGGAGAGGGAUGCGGAAUUCCAGGUGUAGCGGUGAAAUUCGUAGAUAUCAGGAGGAACACCGGUGGUGUAAACGGCUUUCUGGACCAUAACUGACGCUGAGGCACGAAAGCGUGGGUAGCAAACAGG